AACGAACGCUGGCGGCAUGCCUAAUACAUGCAAGUCGAACGAUCCCUUCGGGCACAGUGGCCUCCGGGUGCGUCACGCGUGGGAAUCUGCCCUUCGGGUCGGAAUACCUCAGGGACACUUGAGCUAAUACCGGAUAACGUCGCAAGACCAAAGAUUUAUCACCGAAGGAUGAGCCCGCGUAGGAUUAGCUAGUUGUUGAGGUAAAGGCUCACCAAGGCGACGAUCCUUAGCUUGUUUGAGAGGAUGAUCAGCCACACUGAGACUGGGACACGGCCCGGACUCCUACGGGAGGCAGGAGUGGGGAAUAUUGGACAAUGGGCGAAAGCCUGAUCCAGCAAUGCCGCGUGAGUGAUGAAGGCCUUAGGGUUGUAAAGCUCUUGUACCCAGGAAGAUCAUGACGGUACCGGGAGAAUAAGCCACGGCUAACUCCGUG
rnacentral:rRNA from 1 species